rnacentral:rRNA from 1 species
AUUGAACGCUGGCGGCAGGCCUAACACAUGCAAGUCGAACGAGUGGCGGACGGGUGAGUAAUGUCUGGGAAACUGCCCGAUGGAGGGGGAUAACUACUGGAAACGGUAGCUAAUACCGCAUACUAUCGGAUGUGCCCAGAUGGGAUUAGCUAGUAGGUGGGGUAACGGCUCACCUAGGCGACGAUCCCUAGCUGGUCUGAGAGGAUGACCCGCCACACUGGAACUGAGACACGGUCAAGACUCCUACGGGAGGCAGCAGUGGGGAAGAUUGCGCAAUGGGCGAAAGCCUGAUGCAGCCAUGCCGCGUGAAUGAAGAAGGCCUUCGGGGUGUAAAGUACUUUCAGCGUGGAGGCGUUACCCGCAGAAGAAGCACCGGCUAACUCCGUGCCAGCAGCCGCGGUAAUAC